rnacentral:rRNA from 1 species
GAUGAACGCUGGCGGCGUGCUUAACACAUGCAAGUCGAACGGGAAACCUUUUAUUGAAGCUUCGGCAGAUUUAGCUGGUUUCUAGUGGCGGACGGGUGAGUAACGCGUGGGUAACCUGCCCUAUACAGGGGGAUAACAACCAGAAAUGGUUGCUAAUACCGCAUAAGCGCACAGGGCCGCAUGGUCCGGUGUGAAAAACUCCGGUGGUAUAGGAUGGACCCGCGUUGGAUUAGCCAGUUGGCAGGGUAACGGCCUACCAAAGCGACGAUCCAUAGCCGGCCUGAGAGGGUGAACGGCCACAUUGGGACUGAGGCACGGCCCAGACUCCUACGGGAGGCAGCAGUGGGUAACAUUGCACAAUGGGGCAAAACCUGAUGCAGCGACGCCGCGUGAAGGAAGAAGUAUCUCGGUAUGUAAACUUCUAUCAGCAGGGAAGAUAGUGACGGUACCUGACUAAGAAGCCCCGGCUAACUACGUG